GCUUACGGCCAUACCACCUUAGGCACGCCCGAUCUCGUCUGAUCUCGGAAGCUAAGCAGGGUCGGGCCUGGUUAGUACUUGGAUGGGUGACCGCCUGGGAAUACCAGGUGCUGUAAAGC
ensembl:rRNA 5S_rRNA 5S ribosomal RNA